rnacentral:rRNA from 1 species
GCCCUAGUAACGGCGAGUGAAGCGGCAACAGCUCAAAUUUGAAAUCUGGCCCUCGGGUCCGAAUUGUAAUUUGUAGAGGAUGCUUUUGGUGAGGUACCUUCCGAGUUCCCUGGAACGGGACGCCAUAGAGGGUGAGAGCCCCGUCUGGUUGGAUACCGAUCCUCUGUAAAGCUCCUUCGACGAGUCGAGUAGUUUGGGAAUGCUGCUCUAAAUGGGAGGUAUAUGUCUUCUAAAGCUAAAUAUUGGCCAGAGACCGAUAGCGCACAAGUAGAGUGAUCGAAAGAUGAAAAGCACUUUGAAAAGAGAGUUAAAAAGUACGUGAAAUUGUUGAAAGGGAAGCGCUCAUGACCAGACUUGGGCUUGGUUGAUCAUCCAGGGUUCUCCCUGGUGCACUCUUCCAGCCCAGGCCAGCAUCAGUUCGCUGUGGGGGAUAAAGGCUUUGGGAAUGUGGCUCCUCCGGGAGUGUUAUAGCCCAUUGUGUAAUACCCUGUGGUGGACUGAGGUUCGCGCAUCUGCAAGGAUGCUGGCGUAAUGGUCAUCAGCGACCCGUCUUGAAACACGGACCAAGGAGUCGUCUUCGUAUGCGAGUGUUCGGGUGUUAAACCCCUACGCGUAAUGAAAGUGAACGCAGGUGAGAGCUUCGGCGCAUCAUCGACCGAUCCUGAUGUUC